rnacentral:rRNA from 1 species
GUGGGGAAUAUUGGACAAUGGGCGCAAGCCUGAUCCAGCAAUGCCGCGUGUGUGAAGAAGGUCUUCGGAUCGUAAAGCACUUUCGACGGGGACGAUGAUGACGGUACCCGUAGAAGAAGCCCCGGCUAACUUCGUGCCAGCAGCCGCGGUAAUACGAAGGGGGCUAGCGUUGCUCGGAAUUACUGGGCGUAAAGGGCGCGUAGGCGGCUCUGUGAGUCAGGCGGGAAAUUCCUGGGCUUAACCUGGGGGCUGCGCUUGAUACUGCAGGGCUUGAGGCCGAGAGAGGGUGGUGGAAUUCCCAGUGUAGAGGUGAAAUUCGUAGAUAUUGGGAAGAACACCAGUGGCGAAGGCGGCUCACUGGUCCGGUACUGACGCUGAGGUGCGAAAGCGUGGGGAGCAAACAGGAUUAGAAACCCGGGUAGUCC